GCCACUGAAAAUAAAGAUGACAAUGAGUUUUUAGAUCCUAUUUCCCUAAAUGCCCGAGAAUAUUUCAACAUUCAUCUGUGGUUGAGGUGCCGCUUAGCAUUGGUGACUGCGUUUGUUGCACAGAUUCAUGGCAUUGGAAUUGUGAAAGAGGAUGAUAUGACAGAUUGCCUGAGCCUCAUCAAUGAAGUGUGUAUGGAGGCAAAAAGCGCAGGCGACACGGAACUGCAGGCUGAAUUCUUGACGCAAGCUGUAAUUCUUGGCCUACAAGAAAAGCAUUUAAAGGCAGACAUCAUGACAAACCUUCAGGAUAUAAUACAUUUGCUGGAAGGAAAUGAAUUUAUUUCUCCUCGAUCACGGCUAACCCUGGCAAGAAGCCUAGUUUUGCUGGAUGACUUAACCAAAGCUGAGAAAUUCAAGGAAUCUCCCUUUUCAAAAACAGGAAAAUUAAAUUUGUUAACUCGGGCUCAUAGCAUUCUAACUGAACAGGUGAGAAUGCUUUUGUGUCUGCAAGACAUAGAAACUUACUUUUCUCUCUUUCCUCCUAUUCCAAACCAUGUCAACUAAUUGCUCAUUACAAUAUUUGUUUUUUUUAAUAGAUGCUAGCUUUUGGAGAAACAAUUGAAUUUCGUUCAUCAAACACUAAAUAUGCAAAUCCAUUACAGCCUUUGAAAAAUAUCUAUCUUCCCCAUGUCAUGUUAUUGGCCAAAAUAAAAAUGAGAAUUGGACAUACAGUGGCCAAGCAAGUAUAUUACAAGAAUAAAAGGAAGGACCCCUCGAAGUGGUUACCUGCUCUUCAUCUGUUUGAUGUGGCACUGAAGCUCUGUAGAACAACAGCAGUGGAGGAACAUGAGGUGGAAGCUGAAAUCCUUUUUCAGAAAGGCAAAAUAGAACGUCAAAUACUAAUGGAAGAGAAAUCUCCAAGUUUUCAACUUGAGAGUUUAUAUGAAGCUAUACAACUAAGCCUGAAAAAUGAUCAAAACUCGGGAUUGAUAAGAGACUCCUACCUAGAAAUGGCUCUAUUGUAUUUUCAUCUGAAGAAGCCAAAGAUAAAAAUUUCAGGAUCACCAUUAACACUUAAGCCUCCUCUCAGAAGAAGUAGUUCUGUUAAAGAAACAUCAGCAAAUAAAUUUGAAAUGUACAGUUCAUUAGCCUGGAUUGCAAUAAGAGCUGCUGCACAGGUCAGUGAAGCUGUGCUGGCAAUUAACUUACUUAUUGGAAAGAAGAAUACUAGAAUGCAUAAAGUUAACCAAGUGGCAUUACCAAAUAUCCCAGAAUUUGCUGCUCUGGAUCUUUUGUCUUCGUAUACAGAUUAUUUGCUUGAUAACUACCAAGUCCUCUUCCAGACUUCCUGUACAUUUUUGUACCAAAAUGAUGAUGUGUGUGACAGCACAGAUGGUAGAAAAAAGACUCAGACCAAAGUGGAUAUUACAUGGAUCCUUCUACUGCGCUACUAUAUUCACCUUCAGAGGAUUAAUAAUCUGAGCAAACUGCUAGCAUCUGCAACACCAGUAUCUGGAAUUUCUUUGCCAGAUGAUACACUUCUCACAUCCCUUUACAACUCUGAGUUGAUUUUGCGCCAGAAAGAAGUGCAUUUUUUCCUUAAAAAAUUCUUACAGCUGUAUUCUUCUUCUUGUAUUGAUGAAUUUCCAAAAGAACUUCUUUGUCAACUGGAAAAUCCCCCUCUUUCAGAAAAAGACUUACGUGAAUCAUCUGCCAAGUUGUAUCGCGAUAGUUCUGUACAAUCCAUUUUAUCUUUUAAGCCUGUUUCAAGCUCAUCUUGUGUGGACAUAACGCCAAUAGAAAUGGUAACACAAGCUUCAAACAAAGAACUUUGCUUUCAAUGGUACAUUCCUCCCCUGGAUAGACCUCCCAAGGAGACAGAACCUAUGGUAUGUAAUGUAAUUAUAGAACUCAAUAUUUCAUUUAUAUAUAAAGCUUAACUAAGCCAUUAUAACUUGGAGAGUAGAGGACAUUCUCUUAUCAUAUAGAUGAGAACAGGUAUCAAUAUAUAAUCUACAUUGUCUAGUAGAAUAAAUUUGAAAAUAACCAAGAAAUCUGGGAAAGUCUGAUUCAGGCUGAUCAUUUUUCUUUUUCCUGAUCCCAUAGGGAAAAUUUUCAGUGUGUCACCAUUAUAUAUGAUGCUUAACUUUUUUUGGUAGUUAUUCUUUAUCAUGUUAAAGAAUUUUUUUACUGCUAUUUUGCUAAGAAUAUUU
ensembl:lincRNA